GAUGAAGAACGUAGCGAAAUGCGAUACUUGGUGUGAAUUGCAGAAUCCCGUGAACCAUCGAGUCUUUGAACGCAAGUUGCGCCCGAAGCCAUUAGGCCGAGGGCACGCCUGCCUGGGCGUCACACGUCGUUGCCCCCCCAUCUACUCCUUCGGGAUUGUGGGGGGCGGAUGAUGGCCUCCCGUGCGCCACGCCGCGCGGUUGGCAUAAAUGCCAAGUCCUCGGCGACGCACGCCACGACAAUCGGUGGUUGCGAAACCUCGGUUGCCCGUCGUGUGCGGUCGUCGCGCAUCGAGGGCUCGAAAAAAUUGCCGGGUUCCGGCUCGGCUUUCAACGCGACCCCAGGUCAGGCGGGGUUACCCGCUGAAUUUAAGCAUAUCAAUAAGCGGAGGA
rnacentral:misc_RNA from 1 species